GUUGAUAGAGGUGCGGUAUUUAAGAGUAAUCCGAGCGCGCAAGGGCGGACAGCCUGCGGCGGAUAAAAGGAAAUAUCGCCGAAAUGUACGGGGGUCUGUCCCGAACCGUAUGUUGGGCCGCAACAGAAUAUGUUGCGGACUGUCACACCUGUGGAGAGCUAUCUU
rnacentral:ncRNA from 1 species